rnacentral:rRNA from 1 species
CCUACGGGUGGCAGCAGUGGGGAAUAUUGGACAAUGGGGGGAACCCUGAUCCAGCCAUGCCGCGUGUGUGAAGAAGGCCCUCGGGUUGUAAAGCACUUUCAGUGAGGAAGAACGCCUGGUGGUUAAUACCCAUCAGGAAAGACAUCACUCACAGAAGAAGCACCGGCUAACUCCGUGCCAGCAGCCGCGGUAAUACGGAGGGUGCGAGCGUUAAUCGGAAUUACUGGGCGUAAAGCGCGCGUAGGUGGCUUGAUAAGCCGGUUGUGAAAGCCCCGGGCUCAACCUGGGAACGGCAUCCGGACCUGUCAAGCUAGAGUGCAGGAGAGGAAGGUAGAAUUCCCGGUGUAGCGGUGAAAUGCGUAGAGAUCGGGAGGAAUACCAGUGGCGAAGGCGGCCUUCUGGACUGACACUGACACUGAGGUGCGAAAGCGUGGGUAGCAAACAGGAUUAGAUACCCUUGUAGUC